rnacentral:rRNA from 1 species
UACGAAGGGGGCUAGCGUUGUUCGGAAUUACUGGGCGUAAAGCGCGUGUAGGCGGUUAUGCAAGUCGGGUGUGAAAGCCCGGAGCUCAACUCCGGAAGUGCAUUCGAUACUGCGUAGCUAGAGUACUGGAGAGGAUGGUGGAACUCUCGGUGUAGAGGUGAAAUUCGUAGAUAUCGAGAAGAACACCGGUGGCGAAGGCGGCCAUCUGGACAGAUACUGACGCUGAGACGCGAAAGCGUGGGGAGCAAACAGG